UUCACUGCUUCAUGUUCAUCAGUUCAUCCAGACAGCUUACGGCGCAACGACGAUCUUAUUCCUAUGAACAGCACAAUCUCCUCUGUGCAGGUAAUCAGAAUGGUGUGUUAGCUCAGUUCCACCAGAUAUAACGUCAGAGCUUCCACAGUCUCCACCAUUUCCAUCUGAUUCACCACGGCCGCCUGCAACGCCUGAUGGGACACGAAGCAGGAGUUAGAACUGUAACUGCAAGUAUGUCUAUUGAGAGAAACGUCAGCUAUGGUAUGUGGUCCGAUGAGUUUAAUAAAUCUAUCUGCAACACAAGGUGACCAUAAAGCAAGUACAAGUGACAAGCACAGGACUCGAUCAGGGGACCAAGCUGAGAAGCUCAGCUUCAAGGGAUUUUAUCCGUUCGAAAGACUGCAACAAUAUACGUUCUUUCUCCUUUGGCAUAUCUGGAGGUUUGCCCAUGAGAUGAUUGUACAGAGACUCGAGCUUUUCAAGAC